GAUGAAGAACGUAGCGAAAUGCGAUAAAUAAUGUGAAUUGCAGAAUUCAGUGAAUCAUCGAGUCUUUGAACGCACAUUGCGCCCCCUGGUAUUCCGGGGGGCAUGCCUGUCCGAGCGUCAUUGCUGCCCUCAAGCACGGCUUGUGUGUUGGGCCCCCGUCCCCCCCUCCCGGGGGACGGGCCCGAAAGGCAGCGGCGGCACCGCGUCCGGUCCUCGAGCGUAUGGGGCUUUGUCACCCGCUCUGUAGGCCCGGCCGGCGCCUGCCGACCACCAUCAAUCUUUUUUUAGGUUGACCUCGGAUCAGGUAGGGAUACCCGCUGAACUUAAGCAUAUCAAUAAGCGGAGGA
rnacentral:misc_RNA from 1 species